rnacentral:rRNA from 1 species
GUCCACGCCGUAAACGAUGGAUACUAGCUGUUGGGGGCAACUUCAGUGGCUAAGCGAAAGUGAUAAGUAUCCCACCUGGGGAGUACGAACGCAAGUUUGAAACUCAAAGGAAUUGACGGGGCCCGCACAAGCGGUGGAGCAUGUGGUUUAAUUCGAUGAUACGCGAGGAACCUUACCAAGGCUUAAAUGUAGAUUGACCGAUUUGGAAACAGAUUUUUCGCAAAGACAAUUUACAAGGUGCUGCAUGGUUGUCGU